rnacentral:rRNA from 1 species
GCGGAGGAAAAGAAACCAACAGGGAUUGCCCUAGUAACGGCGAGUGAAGCGGCAACAGCUCAAAUUUGAAAUCUGGUCUCUUUUCGAGGCCCGAGUUGUAAUUUGCAGAGGGCGCUUUGGCGUCGGUAGCGGUCUAAGUUCCUUGGAACAGGACGUCACAGAGGGUGAGAAUCCCGUACGUGGUCGCCUACCUUCGCCGUGUAAAGCCCCUUCGACGAGUCGAGUUGUUUGGGAAUGCAGCUCUAAAUGGGAGGUAAAUUUCUUCUAAAGCUAAAUACCGGCCAGAGACCGAUAGCGCACAAGUAGAGUGAUCGAAAGAUGAAAAGCACUUUGGAAAGAGAGUCAAACAGCACGUGAAAUUGUUGAAAGGGAAGCGCUUGCCGCCAGACUUGCCCGUGGUGGUUCUCCUCCGCGGGUAGGCCAGCAUCAGUUUGGGCGAUCGGAUAAUGGCCUCUGUCAUGUAUCUUCCUUCGGGAUGACCUUAUAGGGGAGUCGUAGUGCGUUCAGCCCGGACUGAGGUUCGCGCAUCUGCUAGGAUGCUGGCGUAAUGGCUGCAAGCGGCCCGUCUUGAAACACGGACCAAGGAGUCUAACAUCUAUGCGAGUGUUUGGGUGUCAAGCCCGAGCGCGUAAUGAAAGUGAACGGAGGUGGGAACCCCCUCUAGGGGUGCACCAUCGACCGAUCCUGAAGUCUUCGGAUGGAUUUGAGUAAGAGCAUGGCUGUUGGGACCCGAAAGAUGGUGAACUAUGCUUGAAUAGGGUGAAGCCAGAGGAAACUCUGGUGGAGGCUCGCAGCGGUUCUGACGUGCAAAUCGAUCGUCAAAUUUGGGCAUA